rnacentral:miRNA from 1 species
AGUGGUUGGUUUGGUGCUGUC